CCUAAGAGAAUUAAAGGCUUCGAAUUCUUCUCACUAAUUUUCAGUUUUUCUUCCUCUCCUGUUCUGAGAUCUCUACUCUUCGAGUUUGAAUUUUGACUCUUUAAAUGGCUAAACAAAAAGGGAUUUUGUUUGGUUUGCUACUCCACAGAAGCCUACGGUCCACAUUGCUGAAAUAUGCCGAUGCUGCAUUUUGAAGUCUGGUGGGCCUACACUCCCUCUGCCUCAUAUUGUAUAUGUUAAGAUACUAACACUAACAUUGAGUGUUCCAUUUGUGCUUUAAUCAUUUUUAGGAACCUAGGCAAAACCAAGCUCAUAGGUAAAUAAAAUGAUAAUCUGAAUUUACUUACCAUAUUCAAUAGAGUAUAUCAAGCACUUACUAAUAAUAAAAGGUCUUGUUCUUUAUUUA